CCCGCCGGCGACCGGCGCACGGGUGAGUAACACGUAUGCAACCUGGCCGCCACAGGGGGAUAACCCGCGGAAACGCGGCCUAAUACCCCGUGACGCCACCGGAGGGCAUCCUCCGGUGGCCAAAGGAGCGAUCCGGUGGCGGAUGGGCAUGCGGCGCAUUAGCUAGACGGCGGGGUGACGGCCCACCGUGGCGACGAUGCGUAGGGGUUCUGAGAGGAAGGCCCCCCACACUGGGACUGAGACACGGUCCAAACUCCUACGGAAGGCAGCAG
rnacentral:rRNA from 1 species